rnacentral:lncRNA from 1 species
UUUUAUUGUACUGAAUAUUUUUAUAGUAUAUGUAUCUCAGUUUUUAUAUAAACUUUUAGUAUUUUUACUUUUGUUCACUGAUGGAAAAGCUUAAAGAAUAUUACUGAAAGAAUGAAAGGUUGAUUGAACUUUAAUAUGGUACAUGUAUAUAAUUACAUUAAUUGUAUGUUUCAUUAUAAUACUUUAUUCUGAUUGGCUAACUGCACAUCACGUGUUAUUCCGUAAGCAGUUGCAUUGCUCAAUACAACUUUUCAUUCAUGAUAACACAUGGUCCAACAAUAAAGUGCACAGGUGAAUUAAAUAAAAAAAUAUAUAAAAUUCGUGUUGUCAUGAUCAUAGCUAAAAAAUGUAAUUAUAAGUAUUGAAUGCUUCUUUUUGUAACUUUAUAUGGUUGUAAAAGCGUUGACCGUGCAAACAUUUUUAGAAUGAAGCACUUCCGUGCUUCAUACAAAAUGUACUUCGGUCAACGCUUUUACACCCCAAUAAAUUUACAAAAAGAAGCAUUCAAUUCUUAAAUAAAAUUCCCUUGGUUUCUCUUUGUAAAAUACAAGGUACAUGUUGGAUCAUCAUAUGAUUUCAACUGUCAAUUUGUGGUAAAUAUAUCUGAUUAUCAUAGUCAUGAUAGUAAAAUUGGAAGUUGAUUAAACAGUGAAAAUAAAUUCUGUAUCAUUUUGUAAUGAGUCUUGUACGCAUAUUCUAUGUUUAUUUUAUUGAAAACAAAAGAAGUUCUCUGUUGAAACUCACCUGUUAAAGCACCCAGAUUGAUAAUAAUUAUAAAAAAGAAGUGGUAUGAUUGCCAAUGAGGCAACUCUUCACAAUAGACCAAAUGACACUGAAUUAACAACUAUAGGUCACCCUACUUCCUUCAACAAUGAGCAAAGUCCAUACUGCAGUCAUCUAUAAAAUAAGCCCAUCUUUUUUCUAUGCGUUUUUUACCAUGGCUGUAUGUCUUACGUUACAAUAAGUAUGAUACUAAUGACUUUUUUAAUUGUUAAGAUUUUACCACAACAGAAGCUUGUAUAUAUCCCCAUUAUAUAUAUAUAUACAUGAGUCUAAAUUGAAAACUACGUUCAAACCUAUGAUUGCAUUGGAUAAAAAACGCAAUUUUUAUACGUGUGCAUGUAAAAAAAAUUUCGUUGUAGAAGGGUCUAAAAACAGCACAAACAACAUUUUCCAAAAGACCAAAAAAAGUGAAAAAGUAUAUUUAAACAAAACGCAUUUGACUUACAGGUCGAACAACUGAUGUUCUUUAACCCUGCUGACUGCCAUUGGCGAUUGCCAAAUAAAAUUGAUCACAAGAUGUAACAAAAUGGAUCUUUAAUAUAAAUUUAAUACUAAACAGAAAUAUAUAUUGAGUUUAAAUAAGAAUUGUACAUUAUAUUAAUCAUCAUACCACACCUACCGUGUACUUAUAUUUUUAUACUGAUCAUAUUUAUGUUAUAAUGUAUUUAUACAUGUUAAUUAUAAAAUAUAAUUCCAUUAAUUUGUACAUGCAUACAUGUCUGUCUAUGAAUACCCUGCACAGUUGAAAUACUUUUAUUGAAUUGCAGUAAAUGAUACUGCAAUUUAAAUGUUUAAAUCAUUGUUUGUGUCUUAUACUGUUAUAUAUCAAAUUUGAUUAAAGAUGAAACUUUGUUUAUAAAAAACUUUGCAAUGAAUUGUCUUCUUUAUGAUGGGAUUUUUGGGGGAUUGCAUGAAAUGUAACUAAAACAUACUCAAUACAGAUGGACUUAAAAAUAAAUAUAUUUUUUUUUAGAUGUGUAUCUUACUUUAUUGAUAAUUUUAACAUUUGUUAGUUACACAUGUUAGAUACAAACAAAAUCUGAAUCUUAUUCCAGCCAUGUUAACCAUUAGGCAGCAACCAUUUGAUUUUCUGGGGGGGCUAUGGUUUUUUUUUCUGGACAAAUUUUUUUUUUCGCCUGCGGCGAAAAACAAUCUAUUUUUUUCGCUACAAGUCGAAAACAAUUUUUUUCUUUCAAUUUUAGCAUUACAUAUAGUGGCAGCUGAGGGUGAAACAAACAAUUUUUUUUUCUCAGAAUCAAAAACAAAUUAUUUUUUUCUCCAAAAACUGGAAACAAACUUUUUUUUCCAAAAAAAACCAUAGCCCCCCCAGAAAAUCAAAUGGUUGCUGCCUUAUA